UUCCGGCCUAUCAUCUUGUUGGUGGGGUAGUGGCUUACCAAGGCGACGACGGGUAGCCGGCCUGAUAGGGCGACCGGCCACACUGGGACUGAGACACGGCCCAGACUCCUACGGGAGGCAGCAGUGGGGAAUAUUGCGCAAUGGGCGAAAGCCUGACGCACCGACGCCGCGUGGGGGAUGACGGCCUUCGGGUUGUAAACCUCUUUCAUCAGGGACGAAGUUGACGUGUACCUGCAGAAGAAGCGCCGGCUAACUACGUGCCAGCAGCCGCGGUAAUACGUAGGGCGCAAGCGUUGUCCGGAAUUAUUGGGCGUAAAGAGCUCGUAGGUGGCUGGUCGCGUCUGCCGUGAAAGCCCGCAGCUUAACUGCGGGUCUGCGGUGGAUACGGGCCGGCUAGAGGUAGGCAGGGGCAAGUGGAAUUCCUGGUGUACCGGUGAAAUGCGCAGAUAUCAAGAGGAACACCGGUGGCGAAGGCGGCUUGCUGGGCCUUACCUGACGCUGAGGAGCGAAAGCGUGUGGAGCGAACAGGAUUAGAUACCCUGUUAGUCCACGCUGUAAACGUUGGGCGCUAGGUGUGGGGGUCUUCCACGACUUCCGUGCCGGAGCUAACGCAUUAAGCGUCCCGCCUGGAGAGUACGGCCGCAAGGCUAAAACUCAAAGGAAUUGACGGGGGCCCGCACAAGCGGCGGAGCAUGUUACUUAAUUCGACGCAACGCGAAGGACCUUACCAAGGUUUGACUCCACCCGGAAAGCUGCAGAGAUGUGGCCCUUUUCGGACUGGGGUGACAGGUGGUCCAUGGCUGUCGUCAGCUCGUGUUUGAGAUGUUGGGUUAAGUCCCGCAACGAGCGCAACCCCUUGCUCCCAGUUGCCAGCAGCGGAUUCGUCCGGCUGGGGACCUCAUGGGGGACUGCCCGGGGUCAACCCGGAGGAAGGGGGGAUGACGCCAAGUCAUCAUGCCCCCUUAUUUCUUGGGCUGCAAACAUGCUACAAUGGCCGGUACAGAGGGUUGCGAUACCGUGAGGUGGAGCGAAUCCCUAAAACCCGGUCUCAGUUCUCAUUGGGGUCUGCAACUCGACCCCACGAAGUCGGAGUCGCUAGUAAACGCAGAUCAGCAAUGCUGCGGUGAAUACGUUCCCGGGCCUUCACACACAGCCCGUCACGUCCGAAAGUCGGCAACACCCGAAGCCCGUGGCCCAACCCGCUAGGGGGGGAGCGGUCGAAGGGGGCUGGA
rnacentral:rRNA from 1 species